GCCUGCCCUAUGAAUAUUUAAAUGGCUGCGGUACUCUGACCGUGCAAAGGUAGCAUAAUAAUUAGUUUCUUAAUUGGGAACUGGAAUGAAAGGUCGCACGAGAAAAAGACUGUCUCAAUUUAAUUUAAAUUAGAAUUUUAUCUUUAAGUAAAAAAGCUUAAAUACUAUUAAAAGACGAGAAGACCCUAUAGAAUUUUAUAAUUUUAUUUAUAUUUGAAAGUUAAAGUAUUUUAGAUUUAGGUAUAUAUUGAAAUUAUUUGGUUGGGGCGACUAAAAAAUUGAAAGAACUUUUUUUAUUACUAAACAUUAAUAUAUGAGUAAGUGAUCCA
rnacentral:rRNA from 1 species